AGAGUUUGAUCAUGGCUCAGAACGAACGCUGGCGGCGUGGAUAAGACAUGCAAGUCGAACGCUGAUUAGAGGGUAGCAAUAUUCUCUAGUCGGAGUGGCGCAAGGGUGCGUAACACGUGGGUAAUCUGCCGUGAAGACUGGGAUAACUCGCUGAAAGGCGAGCUAAUACCGGAUGUGACUGUUGGGAGGCAUCUCUCGACAUUUGAAGCUGGGGACCGCAAGGCCUGGCCCUUCACGAUGAGCCCGCGGCCUAUCAGCUAGUUGGUGAGGUAACGGCUCACCAAGGCUAAGACGGGUAGCUGGUCUGAGAGGACGACCAGCCACACUGGAACUGAGACACGGUCCAGACACCUACGGGUGGCAGCAGUCGAGAAUUUUUCACAAUGGGCGCAAGCCUGAUGGAGCGACGCCGCGUGGGGGAUGAAGGGUUUCGAUCCGUAAACCCCUGUCAUUUGCGAACAAUGGCUAUUCAAUAACACUGGAUGGCUUGAUAGUAGUGAAAGAGGAAGGGACGGCUAACUCUGUGCCAGCCGCCGCGGUAAUUC
rnacentral:rRNA from 1 species